rfam:Macaca mulatta chromosome X, whole genome shotgun sequence.
GCAGCUGUGGCUCAGUGGAAAGAGCAUCAGUCUGGGCAUCAGAAGACCUGGGUCCUAGCCCCAGCUGUA